rnacentral:rRNA from 1 species
UACGUAGGGGGCAAGCGUUGUCCGGAAUCAUUGGGCGUAAAGCGCGUGUAGGCGGCCCGGUAAGUCCGCUGUGAAAGUCCAGGGCUCAACCCUGGGAUGCCGGUGGAUACUGUCGGGCUCGAGUCCGGAAGAGGCGAGUGGAAUUCCUGGUGUAGCGGUGAAAUGCGCAGAUAUCAGGAAGAACACCUAUGGCGAAGGCAGCACUCUGGGACGGUACUGACGCUGAGGCACGAAAGCGUGGGGAGCAAACAGG